GUUGAAACAUCAAUUCUCGUACGAUCACCAAAGUUAAGCGACGUCGAGCCUGGUUAAUAUCAAGAUGGGUGACCGUUUGGGAAUACCAUCUGCUGUA